CUACGGGGCGCUGCAGUGGGGAAUAUUGCGCAAUGGGCGAAAGCCUGACGCAGCAACGCCGUGUGAGGGAUGAAGGCUUUCGGGUCGUAAACCUCUGUCGGAAGGGAAGAACGGGCAUUGGUCUAAUAGGCCUUUGUUUUGACGGUACCUUUAGAGGAAGCACCGGCUAACUCCGUGCCAGCAGCCGCGGUAAUACGGAGGGUGCAAGCGUUAUUCGGAAUUACUGGGCGUAAAGCGCACGUAGGCGGCCUUGUAAGUCAGGGGUGAAAUCCCACGGCUCAACCGUGGAACUGCCUUUGAAACUGCAGGGCUUGAAUCCUGGAGAGGGUGGCGGAAUUCCUGGUGUAGGAGUGAAAUCCGUAGAUAUCAGGAGGAACACCGGUGGCGAAGGCGGCCACCUGGACAGGUAUUGACGCUGAGGUGCGAAAGUGUGGGGAGCAAACAGGAUUAGAUACCCGGGUAGUC
rnacentral:rRNA from 1 species